UAAGGAAUAUUGCUCAAUGGGAGAAAUCCUGAAGCAGCAACGCCGCGUGGAGGAUGAAGGGUCUAUGACUUGUAAACUCCUGUAAAGAAGGAAAAAAUUCCCAUUAGAUGGGAGAUGAUGGUACUUCUGGAGUAAGCCCCGGCUAACUACGUGCAAGCAGCCGCGGUAAUACGUAGGGGGCAAGCGUUGUCCGGAUUUACUGGGUGUACAGGGUGCUCAGGCGGAUUUGUAAGUCAGAGGUGAAAUCUUACAGCUUAACUGUGAAACUGCCUUUGAUACUGCAAGCCUAGAGUAGGGAAGAGAGUGAUGGAAUGUCUGGUGUAGCAGUGAAAUGCGUAGAUAUCAGAAAGAACACCAAUGGCGAAGGCGGUCACUUGGUCCAUAACUGACGCUAAAGCACGAAAGCGUGGGUAGCAAACA
rnacentral:rRNA from 1 species